rnacentral:rRNA from 1 species
UACGGAGGGAGCUAGCGUUGUUCGGAAUUACUGGGCGUAAAGCGCACGUAGGCGGCUUUGUAAGUUAGAGGUGAAAGCCCGGGGCUCAACUCCGGAACUGCCUUUAAGACUGCAUCGCUUGAAUCCAGGAGAGGUGAGUGAACUCCGAGUGUAGAGGUGAAAUUCGUAGAUAUUCGGAAGAACACCAGUGGCGAAGGCGGCUCACUGGCCCGGUACUGACGCUGAGGUGCGAAAGCGUGGGGAGCAAACAGG